rnacentral:lncRNA from 1 species
GAGAUCUGACUCCCUCUUCUGGAGUGUCUGAGGACAGCUACAGUGUACUUACAUAUAACCAAUAAAUAAAUCUUUAAAAAAAAAUAAGUAUCACUAAAAUGUUGUAUGUGAGCCUUUUACAUGUGUGUGGUUGCCUUAAAUAUCAAACUUAUACAGUGCUAAAGGUGAUAGAACAUAGAAAGUGAAGUCAUAACUUCAUAUAUUGUUCCAAAGAAGUUUUGUUUUAAUGUUUGUGCCUUAAGCUACCCAGUGCCAUUUUAGUCUGAUAAACCUCAGUAUUGGUUUUUGAGGGUCUAGUUUUGUUUUAUUUUUUGAGUCCGGGCGAUAUAGAUCCAAGGCUUGCCUAAAACUCUGUUUUGCUGAAAAUGAUCUUGAACUCCAAUCAUUCUGUCAUAGCUCCCAAGUGCUUGGAUGAUAGCUUGUGCCACCAUGCUUGGCUGUGUGGGUUUCUGUGGUCUGGGUGGGUUGUUUGGUUGGUUCUUCAAUUGGUUGAUUUAAUGUAGCCCUGGCUAACCUGGAACUCAGUAUAUGACCAGGUUGACCUUGAGCUAGUGGCAAUUCUCCUGCCUCUGUCUGUGAGUGCUGAUGCUUUUGUGAAUACCAGCUGCCUGCUAGGCAGAAAGAGAAUGUUAACUGAGGUUGUUGCUUGGAGUUUUACAUUUUUAACUUUUGGUACCUAGGUGCUUUGUAAAAUACUCAGAUAAAUACCCACUGAGCUAUUUGGAAUAGUGAAGAGUAUGCGUAGUUAUUUCUGUUUGUCAUUAUAUUAGUAGUGCUGCUCCAGGCUUUUCCUUGAGAAAACACUUCCUCUUCAUCGCUCCCGCUCCUGCAGUGUGAGUCUCCAGAGCUAUCGAAGGCUUUCAGAACCGAACAAGUGUGCGUGCUUUUCUGUAACUUCCACACAGCCAUUGCCUAGAGUGAAUGCUCACAGUGAAGAAAGGAGUGUUCUCCAUGUCCUUGUUCUCCGUUCAGCAGUAGUACAGUAAUGUAGUACAGUAAUGCUUACAGUUUUGUUUAAUUGCACUUCCUCCAUAGUUUAAAUUUUUAAAAGUUGUAUCUAAUGUCUUUUAAACAUUACUUGACUAUAUGGUUACAUUAAAUUUUGUUUACC